GAAGAUUCACCUAUAUUUGUAAUUUACAUCAGAUGCAUGAAAAUUAUUUUAUGGGGAAAUAUGGGCAGGUUACCAUAAAGAUUGCAGGAAGCAACCAAAGGAUGCAUUUGAUUUGACCCCUUUACAUAUUCAAAAGUCGAAUCCUGGCAUUGCAAACUGGGAAGCAAAUGUCUCAACCCGGUUUCGAAGCUCAACGACAUCUCUACUGUUUUGAAGACCCUUGGGAAAAUCUUUUGGGAAUUUCCCGUAUUCCCUUUGUACCGCACAUGUUAUCUGAGCUGCCCUAAGAAGAAAGUCGGCAAUAGUUUCAAAAUCACCCUCUAAACA
rnacentral:misc_RNA from 1 species